CCUACGGGGGGCUGCAGUGAGGAAUAUUGGUCAAUGGGCGAGAGCCUGAACCAGCCAAGUAGCGUGAAGGAUGACGGCUCUAUGGGUUGUAAACUUCUUUUAUAUGGGAAUAAAGUGAGGCACGUGUUCCUUUUUGUAUGUACCUUAUGAAUAAGCAUCGGCUAACUCCGUGCCAGCAGCCGCGGUAAUACGGAGGAUGCGAGCGUUAUCCGGAUUUAUUGGGUUUAAAGGGUGCGUAGGUGGGUAAUUAAGUCAGCGGUGAAAGUUUGUGGCUCAACCAUAAAAUUGCAGUUGAUACUGGUUGCCUUGAGUACAGUUGAGGUAGGCGGAAUGCGUGGUGUAGCGGUGAAAUGCAUAGAUAUCACGCAGAACUCCGAUUGCGAAGGCAGCUUACUAAACUAUCACUGACACUGAUGCUCGAAAGUGUGGGGAUCAAACAGGAUUAGAUACCCGGGUAGUC
rnacentral:rRNA from 1 species